GGCGGGAUAGCUCAGUCGGUUAGAGCAGCGGAAUCAUAAUCCGCGUGUCGGGGGUUCGAAUCCCUCUCCCGCUACCA
rnacentral:tRNA from 1 species